GAUGAACGCUGGCGGCGUGCCUAAUACAUGCAAGUCGAGCGAACAGACGAGGAGCUUGCUCCUCUGACGUUAGCGGCGGACGGGUGAGUAACACGUGGAUAACCUACCUAUAAGACUGGGAUAACUUCGGGAAACCGGAGCUAAUACCGGAUAAUAUAUUGAACCGCAUGGUUCAAUAGUGAAAGACGGUUUUGCUGUCACUUAUAGAUGGAUCCGCGCCGCAUUAGCUAGUUGGUAAGGUAACGGCUUACCAAGGCAACGAUGCGUAGCCGACCUGAGAGGGUGAUCGGCCACACUGGAACUGAGACACGGUCCAGAUUCCUACGGGAGGCAGCAGUAGAGAAUCUUCCGCAAUGGGCGAAAGCCUGACGGAGCAACGCCGCGUGAGUGAUGAAGGUCUUCGGAUCGUAAAACUCUGUUAUUAGGGAAGAACAAAUGUGUAAGUAACUAUGCACGUCUUGACGGUACCUAAUCAGAAAGCCACGGCUAACUACGUG
rnacentral:rRNA from 1 species